rnacentral:rRNA from 1 species
GACGGAGGAUGCAAGUGUUAUCCGGAAUCACUGGGCGUAAAGCGUCUGUAGGUGGUUCGAAAAGUCCACUGUUAAAAAUUGAAGCUUAACUUCAAAGAUGCCGUGGAAACUUUCAAACUAGAGUGUGGUAGGGGUAGAGGGAAUUUCCAGUGGAGCGGUGAAAUGCGUAGAUACUGGGAAGAACACCGGUGGCGAAGGCGGCGACCUGGUCCUUGACUGACGCUGAGGCGCGAAAGCGUGGGGAGCAAACAGG